rnacentral:lncRNA from 1 species
CUGAGCGGCUGCCACAGGGACUGCAGAGCCUGUAAAGGCUAAAAUAUUUAAUGUCUGGUGUUUUUUUUGUUUUUACAGAAAAAGUCAACGGACCCCUGGUUCAGUGCUCUGGUCUUCCCUACAAGUGAUCUGAGGAAGUCCAGUUCGGUGAGACUGCUUCUCUGAACAAGAGUCCAACACACAUAAUGUCCCACCCUCAAAACUAUUUGCAAUGUGUAAAUAAGGUAUACAAAAGGCUCUGAGAAUUCCUGCAUAAAAGAAUCUGUUGUUCUUUAACUUAAUAUUUCCCAAACUUCUUUGAACUGCUAAAUCUUUUCCUUAGCACCUCUUAACAUCCCGAGAAGCUGGUGUUCUGUGGCUGCCCCCAGAAAAUGCUGUUUAGAUAUAAAGAACAGCCUGACUUCUUGACCCAUCCCUGCCACCAAUGAGUCAGGUGGCCUUGGCUGAAUGAUGCACCUGUCAGGGCCUGCUUUCUCACUGAUUGAAGGGAAUGAUGGUGUCUGUCCUGUCUCUCUUAUAGGUUCUUCAGGUAGGUCCCCAAGAUAGCAGGCAUGAAAGGUAUAGAGGGAUGACUGUGGUCUUUGGGUAACUAGUUUUCUUUCUUCUAUCACUUAGCAAUGGGGAAAAGGCACUAGGCCAAGGGCACGAGUUCUCUACUAGUCCUCACUUUGCUAUCUAUCACAAGAUGGGUUCACUGAGUGACUUGAAACAGGUGACUCCGUGACCAGGCCUCAGUUUCCUCACUUCUAAGCUGAGGGGUUUAGACUAAAUCUUUAAGGAUUUAUUAGCUUGGAAAUUCUAUGGUUCUAUUCGGUUAAAUGCCUGAACUUGCUACUUCUCUCUCACAAACCAUGAAAACUGCAUCUCUUUGGUUUCCUUGGUCCUGGACCAGGUAUGAGGAGGUACUGCUGAGGGAUUUCUGAUGCUGCUGACAGUUUAGGAGGCAG